UCGGGAGUAGCUCAGUGGCAGAGCGUUCGACUGUUAAUCGAAUGGUCGUAGGUUCGACCCCUACCUCCCGAGCCA
rnacentral:tRNA from 1 species